rnacentral:tRNA from 1 species
GGAGAGAUGGCCGAGUGGCUGAAGGCGUCAGUCUCGAAAACUGAAAUAGGGGCAACUCUAUCGAGGGUUCGAAUCCCUCUCUCUCCGCCA